UUCUAGAAAUAUUCUUAAUUAAGUUGGUCUUGGGUAUUCAUCGGUGCUAAGAUUAACUUUCUUUAAUGGAUCUUUAUGAUCUUCAUUUCUUCUUCAAGUUAUAGUUGUGCAUCUCCAAUAUUUUCCUCCUCUUGAGGAUCAUCAUUAUUAAUAAAUAUAUAGUAAUACUAGAAAAUAUCUUCUACCUCUUUGUCAUCUUUUAUUUGAGAGGAGGUAUUGUUCUUACUCAGGGUUAUAAAAUGAUAUGAGGGUCCUAUACUUUCUUCAUAUUCCAUACGUUCCUUGGUAUAAACCACAUGAAACCACAAGAUCCCUAUUUUGCCUCAUUUUCACAAUGAUGUGGUUAUUAACUGUCCUUAUUUUAGAGAUACAAAUAGGCGAUGGUGGUAUGCUUGUCGGAUAGUAGCUUCUGAUGGGAGUUUCUCCAAUUUUGAUGGCCAGGAUUGUAUCCAUUCUUCAUAAAUAACUUGUAAGAGUUUAGAUUAAAGCCUUAUUUUGUACAUUUCAUACGGAAUGUCAUAUCUCACGCCAGGUUCCUAUCUACAAAUUCCCCAAGUAGCUUUGAGGAUAAGUUUAUGGCACUAAUAUACUUGAUCAAAAGAGUUAGCCCCCUCGUACAUUAUCAUGAACAUUGGAUGAGUUUCCUUCCUCUUUCCUUAACUUUGGUAAAUAGAAAAAUAUAGAAGUUUCUUUCUUUUUCAAGGAUGCAACUUUUAUUCAAAGUAUUAGGAGGCUUCUUAAUGGUGACUUUUUCAAUAGCCACCUCAACCUUCUUAGCUGCGAGAUCGUCACACUUGCUUGUUCUGACAUCAACAACUUUUUUCUCCAUCAUGAAAUAAUUCUUAGAGUAGAAUUUUGCAUCUAAAAAGUGUGAUUAAACUUCAUUGAAUAUCUUAUCAUUGGAUACUAUUUUCCUUUUUGCUCUAUCUUUAAGAUAAUUAAAGCAUUAAUAGUAGGAGGAUGACAUAAUUUUAUUCUCGUGCACCCAAUGUAUACCAAGCAAUAUAUUGUAUUAAGUCUUCACGUUUAUCACAUGCAUCAAUAUGUUUGAUAGCAAAUGAUCCAUAUGUAUCUCUAACUUGAUGUAACCUAUGGCCCACUAAACCUCUUGAUUGAACCCUUAAAUCAUCAAACAAAUUUAAUUAAGUUCAUCAUUUAUGAUUCCAAGUUCUUUCAUUAUACAAAUAGGCAAGAUGUCGAUUCCAGAUCUUUCGUACUUUAAGAUUAUCUUCAUUUUCUUCUCUUGAACAUGGCCCACUAUAUAUAUACAAGGGACGAUUGUGUAGAAUCUAACGAAAUAGGAGAUCAUUAUCUGUAAAUAUAUUUUUGUAUUACAUGUAUGUAAUUUAUGGUAAAGAGGUUCAUUAGGAUUUUCAGAAGAUGGAUGAUCUUCCAUAGAUAGGUUUUUGAUCUUAGGUGUGUGUUAUUAUCAACACAUGUUUAGCUUGGUUCUGAGGAUAACUUCGUAUGCUUAAUGACAUAAAAUGUAUUCUUCAUGUAUUCAUGUGCUAAAUUGUAUGUUUAGAUUAUUUAAGGUGCAUUUGAAAUAAUUCAAGAGCCAAAAUGAUCAAAUAGAGAUUAGACGAGAUAACUAGUAAGGCUAGCCUAAAUUAUGCAUGAUCGAUUAUAGUUUGAUGAGCUUUAAUUAAUUUUAUGGCCUAAUUUUUAUUAUGAGUUAUUGUAGGAGACCGUUGGAGAAUAUAUGGAAGAUAAAUGAGGCCUAUACUCAAGCCACAACUAGUGGGAAAACAAAGAACGAGUUAGAUGAGAAGUAUAGGACAAAUUGGAUGAAAUCUCAAGGCAAGGGGCUUGGCCAUGUGCCGUACCCCCCAAUCAUGGGUAGUGUACAUGUGAUACACCCCUAAAUAAUGGGGAUACUUGUUUGUCCUUGAUAUAGGCCAUGCUCCACAACCCGUUGACUGUGCGAUGCAACCACCUCCCCCCUCCAAAAUGACUAAACUUGGUUUUCUACAUUGUUUAAGUUAAGGGAAAAGUGGUAAAUGCUUAUUUUUCAUAUGGGAAAUCUAAUGAAAGACCUAAAGGGAUAUAUAAAUAGUAAUUAUCCCCAAUUUAAGGAACCUUUAGAAUAAGACAUGAUUGGAGAGAGGAGAAGGAAUCAAGGGCUCUAGUCAAGAGUUUUUCUUCCUUUAACUUCUAUUUUCAUAUAGUUUUACUUAUACAUUUAGUAAUGGUGAUUAUUUGUACAAAUUUGAGUGGAUAAACACUUUAUUUAUAGCGUUGAGACUAC
rnacentral:lncRNA from 1 species